rnacentral:rRNA from 1 species
CCGCAGCGAAAGCGAGUGCGAAAUGCGCGUCUAGUCGCGCUCAACAGACCCGAAAGCAGACGAUCUAGCCAUGGCCAGGUUGAAGGGGCCGUAACAGGCCCUGGAGGACCGAACUCGUGUGGGUUGAAAACCGCUGGGAUGAGCUGUGGCUUGGAGCAAAAACUAAUCGAGUCUGCAGAUAUCUGGUUCUCCCCGAAAUAGUUUUUGGACUAGCCUCGCGCAAAUGCGCACCGGGGGUAGAGCACUGUUCCGGAUGAGGGGCCUACCCGGCUACCUCACCUAGACAAACUCCGAAUACCGGUGUUGCUUAUCGCGGGAGUAAGACCGCGAGGGAUAAUCUUCGUGGUCAAGAGGGUAACAGCCCAGAUCGACGGCUAAGGCCCCUAAACGUACGCUAAAGUGCUAAAGGAAGUGGGGAUGCGUAGACAGCCGGGAUGUUGGCUUAGAAGCAGCCAUCAUUUAAAAAGUGCGUAAUAGCUUACCGGUCGAGCAUCUCUGCGCCGAAAAUGAUCGGG